rnacentral:rRNA from 1 species
AUUGAACGCUGGCGGCGUGCCUAACACAUGCAAGUCGAACGCGAAAGCCCCGCAAGGGGCAAGUAGAGUGGCAAACGGGUGAGUAACACGUGGGUGACCUGCCUUCGAGCGGGGGAUAACGUCCCGAAAGGGACGCUAAUACCGCAUAACAUCCUGCCUUUGAAGAGGUGGAGAUCAAAGCUGGGGAUCGCAAGACCCGGCACUUGAAGAGGGGCCCGCGCCUGAUUAGCUAGUUGGGGGGUAAUGGCCUACCAAGGCAACGAUCAGUAUCCGGCCUGAGAGGGCGGACGGACACACUGGGACUGAGACACGGCCCAGACUCCUACGGGAGGCAGCAGUGGGGAAUUGUUCGCAAUGGGCGCAAGCCUGACGACGCAACGCCGCGUGGAGGAUGAAGAUUUUCGGAUCGUAAACUCCUGUCGAAUGGGACGAAAAGAUAACGGGUUAACAGCCCGUAAUCCUGACGGUACCGUUAAA